rnacentral:rRNA from 1 species
CCUACGGGAGGCAGCAGUGAGGAAUAUUGGUCAAUGGACGAGAGUCUGAUCCAGCCAAGUAGCGUGAAGGAUGACGGCCUUCUGGGUUGUAAACCUCUUUUAUAAAGGAAUAAAACGCGGCACGUGUGCCUUUUUGCAUGUACUUUAUGAAUAAGGCUCGGCUAACUCCGUGCCAGCAGCCGCGGUAAUACGGAGGAUCCGAGCGUUAUCCGGAUUUAUUGGGUUUAAAGGGAGCGUAGAUGGGUUGUUAAGUCAGUUGUGAAAGUUUGCGGCUCAACCGUAAAAUUGCAAUUGAUACUGGCAGUCUGGAGUACAGGUGAGGUAGGCGGAAUUCGUGGUGUAGCGGUGAAAUGCGUAGAUAUCACGAAGAACCCCGAUGGCGAAGGCAGCUUACUAAACUGUGACUGACAUUGAGGCUCGAAAGUGUGGGUAUCAAACAGGAUUAGAUACCCCUGUAGUC